AUAAGUUUUACUCUGCAUUUUGAGAGGGAGAAGGUGAAAUUGGAUGUGUCGGUAUUACAGCUGAGCAAAGGGGACUACAGAGGCAUGAGUGAGGAACCGGCCAAAGUUGACUAGAUAGGGACCCUAGCAGGAAUGACGGUGGAACA